UGUCACUUGCAAUUUUAUCAGAGCCAUUUCUUCAUCAGACUUGAAGAGGACUGGUCUUUCCAAACUUCUGCACUUGAUGCUUUUGUUAAGUUUUCUUCAUUCUCAUGCCCUGGCGAUGAACUAGUUGUGCCAGUAUUGCUAAUUGUUAGUUGUGUUGAAUUAGAGCAUGUAGUUGAUUGUUGAACUUCAUGUAAAUUGAUGUUGUUAAUUA
rnacentral:lncRNA from 1 species